rnacentral:rRNA from 1 species
CGGCGCACGGGUGAGUAACACGUAUCCAACCCGCCGAUAACUCCGGAAUAGCCUUUCGAAAGAAAGAUUAAUACCGGAUAGUAUACGAAUAUCGCAUGAUAUUUUUAUUAAAGAAUUUCGGUUAUCGAUGGGGAUGCGUUCCAUUAGUUUGUUGGCGGGGUAACGGCCCACCAAGACUACGAUGGAUAGGGGUUCUGAGAGGAAGGUCCCCCACAUUGGAACUGAGACACGGUCCAAACUCCUACGGGAGGCAGCAGUGAGGAAUAUUGGUCAAUGGGCGCGAGCCUGAACCAGCCAAGUAGCGUGAAGGAUGAAGGCUCUAUGGGUCGUAAACUUCUUUUAUAUGGGAAUAAAGUUUUCCACGUGUGGAACUUUGUAUGUACCAUAUGAAUAAGGAUCGGCUAACUCCGUGCCAGCAGCCGCGGUAAUACGGAGGAUCCGAGCGUUAUCCGGAUUUAUUGGGUUUAA